rnacentral:rRNA from 1 species
GAUGAACGCUGGCGGCGUGCCUAAUACAUGCAAGUCGAGCGAACAGACGAGGAGCUUGCUCCUCUUACGUUAGCGGCGGACGGGUGAGUAACACGUGGAUAACCUACCUAUAAGACUGGGAUAACUUCGGGAAACCGGAGCUAAUACCGGAUAAUAUAUUGAACCGCAUGGUUCAAUAGUGAAAGACGGUUUUGCUGUCACUUAUAGAUGGAUCCGCGCCGCAUUAGCUAGUUGGUAAGGUAACGGCUUACCAAGGCAACGAUGCGUAGCCGACCUGAGAGGGUGAUCGGCCACACUGGAACUGAGACACGGUCCAGACUCCGACGGGAGGCAGCAGUAGGGAAUCUUCCGCAAUGGGCGAAAGCCUGACGGAGCAACGCCGCGUGAGUGAUGAAGGUCUUCGGAUCGUAAAACUCUGUUAUUAGGGAAGAACAAAUGUGUAAGUAACUAUGCACGUCUUGACGGUACCUAAUCAGAAAGCCACGGCUAACUACGUG